UCCUCCCUCUUUCUUCGUGCUUAACACAUGCAAGUCGAACGGAAAGGCCCUGCUUUUGUGGGGUGCUCGAGUGGCGAACGGGUGAGUAACACGUGAGUAACCUGCCCUUGACUUUGGGAUAACUUCAGGAAACUGGGGCUAAUACCGGAUAGGAGCUCCUGCUGCAUGGUGGGGGUUGGAAAGUUUCGGCGGUUGGGGAUGGACUCGCGGCUUAUCAGCUUGUUGGGGGGGUAGUGGCUUACCAAGGCUUUGCCGGGUAGCCGGCCUGAGAGGUGACCGGCCACAUUGGGACUGAGAUACGGCCCAGACUCCUACGGGAGGCAGCAGUGGGGAAUAUUGCACAAUGGGCGGAAGCCUGAUGCAGCAACGCCGCGUGCGGGAUGACGGCCUUCGGGUUGUAAACCGCUUUCGCCUGUGACGAAGCGUGAGUGACGGUAAUGGGUAAAGAAGCACCGGCUAACUACGUG
rnacentral:rRNA from 1 species